rnacentral:rRNA from 1 species
UAACCUGCCCAAGAGAUCGGGAUAACACCUGGAAACAGAUGCUAAUACCGGAUAACAACAGAUGAUGCCUAUCAACUGUUUAAAAGAUGGUUCUGCUAUCACUCUUGGAUGGACCUGCGGUGCAUUAGCUAGUUGGUAGGGUAACGGCCUACCAAGGCGAUGAUGCAUAGCCGAGUUGAGAGACUGAUCGGCCACAUUGGGACUGAGACACGGCCCAAACUCCUACGGUAGGCAGCAGGC